rnacentral:rRNA from 1 species
GAGAGUUCCCUUCGGGGACAUUGGUGACAGGUGGGGCAUGGUUGUCGUCAGCUCGUGUCGUGAGAUGUUGGGUUAAGUCCCGCAACGAGCGCAACCCUUGUCUUUAGUUGCCAUCAUUAAGUUGGGCCCUCUAGAGAGACUGCCAGGGAUAACCUGGAGGAAGGUGGGGAUGACGUCAAAUCAUCAUGCCCCUUAUGCUUAGGGCUACACACGUGCUACAAUGGGUAGUACAGAGGGUUGCCAAGCCGUAAGG